CCGCCCCCAGGAAGUGAAACAAACGCGGGAGAAGUGACAUGUGUGCAGCCUGUUAUCACAACAAGACUCCGUCCAUACAUACGUAGCGUUUUAAUGUAUAAUUUUAAACACAUUGACAUUUGUGUCACGUCCAUAACUUUGUGUUAUUAGUUUAGGCUUCUAAAUGAGUGUAGUUAUGCAGUGAUCAUAUAGUUACUCUGAUUGAGAUCUGCGAUGCAGAGGGGGUAAAGUGUGGUUUUAGAGAAUACCGAAGUCAUGAAAUCUAGCCAUAAAAAGAAAACAAAGGCUACCAUUAAAGAAGAGGAAACAUCACUAUCAGAACCCUCCUCGUGUCACUUUUUCAAUGAUCUACCUGAAAUUUCGGCCUACCGAUCUCACCUUCUGCAAUGGUAUGACCAAAACAAAAGAGAGCUUCCUUGGAGGACAGUGGCCAUGACAGAACCAGAUGUUAAUAUCAGAACAUAUGCUGUGUGGGUCUCAGAAAUCAUGUUACAACAGACUCAAGUUGCCACUGUGAUAGACUACUAUGACAAGUGGAUGAAGAGAUGGCCGACUGUGGAAAACCUUGCUGCAGCUACAUUAGAGGAGGUAAACCAAAUGUGGGCAGGUCUUGGAUACUACUCUCGGGGACGCAGGUUACAUGAAGGAGCUAAGAAGGUGGUAUCAGACCUCAACGGACAGAUGCCAAGGUGCACAGAGGGACUUUUGAAACUGCUUCCAGGGGUGGGACGUUACACCGCAGGGGCAAUUGGCUCUAUAGCUCUUGGACAGGUCACUGGUGCAGUUGAUGGAAAUGUCAUCCGUGUGCUGUGCCGUGUUCGGGCCAUAGGAGCAGACAGCACUGGUCCUGUAGUUACGGAGGCUUUGUGGAAGAUUGCAAAUACAAUUGUGGACACUGAGAGACCUGGUGAUUUCAAUCAGGCGAUGAUGGAGUUAGGGGCCAGAGUUUGCACCCCAAAAUCCCCUCUUUGCAGCCAGUGUCCCAUUCAGACCCAUUGCCAUGCAUUUAGGAAGCAGCUGCUGGCAGUUGUAACUUGUGUCUGUCAGAGGACUGGGACGCCCAACAAGGGGUGCAGAAUUAUCCAAGAAAGCCUGUCAAAAAGGCUGCACGUGUGGAGAAAACUCUUACCUGUAUAGUACAACGUCAGAGAGGACAGGAGACAGAAUAUCUGCUAACUCAAAGGCCAAGCAAAGGACUCUUGGCAGGUAUGUGGGAGCUACCCAGCGUGGUCCUGGAGUCUGACCUCUCCGGGAAUAAACAUGGAGACUUAUUAUGUACCAUGAUGCAAAUAUUUCUGGAAACAUCAC